UCAAAACAUCUAAUAAAAUAUCUAACCGGGCCUCGUCUCCCCUACAGCUCGUGCCGCCGUCGUCCAACUCCAGUAGGGGUAGAUCUCUCUCUAUCUCCCCUUCUCUCCUCUUCGACCUCUCACCCUACUUUCUCCGCAUCGCCGUUUGCCCUUUUGUUUUGUUUUGCUCCACCGUGUCCUGCACGACCAACGCAACCCCCCCAUAAACACCUUAGCCGCGACAACCCCUCGCCGCCGUCACACCGACCCAAGCACGACUGUCGCGCGGUGACCAGCACCACCAAGUCGAUUGGCCACCGUUUGGGCCCUUCGGUUCCUCCAUCAAAACUCACGCCCAGCCGCGUCGCACUUCUCACGGCAACGCCACCGUGAACCUCCCCACCAGAGCAACCCCAACACCCCGUCGCACUUCUCACGGCAACGCCGCCGUGAGUCUCACCACCAGAGCAACCCCAACGCUGAGAACCACCACCAGCCAGCCACUAAUUUCCGCUCAACCAGCCCUUAAGCAAAACCUUUUUUUUCCCGUCUCUCUCUCUCUCCCUCUCGUAGCUUUUGAAGAAAAGGGAAUUUUGGACUGUGGGCUGGUUUUUGUGGAUGUUUUUAACUGCUUUGUUGAUCGGUUUGGUUUCUGAACAAAAUCUGUACAGUUCGGGUUUUCUUUAAUCUUUGUGUUUCUCUUCUUCUUCUUCUUUUUUUUAAAUGUGCUAACAGUGUGUUUCUCUCUUAUUUUUUUCCAGUUUUUUGGCCUGAAGAUCAUGCUGGUUUGAUGUUUGUAUAUGUCUUCCCUUAAAAAGUUUAUUCUCUUUUUAUUUUUUUAUUUAAUUGAUCUGAUUUUGUGGUUUGUAUUUUGCAGGGGCAUUGGACUGUGAUUUGAUUUUUUUGCAUAUUUUUAUGUGAUGGUUACUUCUCUACAAUUUUUUGAAAAAAAGCAGAUGGCUUUGACUUUUUUUUUAGCUUCCCUCGGUUUGUUUCUUUUUCAGCUCUUAAAGUCUACUUUUACUGAUUCUGUGUUUUCUCUUGUUGGUUUUGAAGAAAAUGGCAACUCAUGCAGAGAAUGUGUUCCCUACCAGAUAAGAAGCAUGGUCGACUAUUCUCAGCAUGAAAUUACUUAUGGGCAGUGUUUGGAUUCUCUGCAAAAUCUGGAGUAUCUGAAUCUGAAUGGCUGCCAAAAGAUCUCCAAUGUGGGAAUUGAAGCUAUAACCAAUGUUUGUCCUACACUGAAGGUCUUCUCUAUGUAUUGAAUAUGAGGUUAUAUAUUGAGUAUAUUGGAUAUGCUAUGCAUGAACAAUGGUUGGGUGACGGAUUUGGGUUGAGCUCAAGUGAUAUAUGGAUUGGGUGGUGGAAGCAGCAGAGACUGAAAGCAGAGGGAGGGGAGAGGAUGUGGUCCAUCCCCUCAAGGUUUCUUUGGAGGACCUCUACAAUGGGACAUCUAAGAAGCUGUUCCUCUUGUGAUGCAAUCUCCUCCAAGUGCAAGCGGCUCCAUGUCUGGUGCUUCAAUUAAAUGUUCUGGUUGUCAAGGUUCUAGAAUCGAAGUCUCCAUUAGGCACCUUGGCCCUUCCUUGAUCCAGCAAAUGCAGCAUGCUUUCAAUGAGUGUAAGAUAUCUCUUUUUCUGGUUCAUCUAAUUGCAAACCGGCUCUGGAGUGGAGGUCUAGGUCUACUUUCUUUUUUUGGAUCAGGUGAUGCUCGAAAAAUGGGUUCAGAGUCUGUUUUUGCUCGUUGUUGGAAUAGGUAACAAUUAAGUCCAAUGAUCCAGUACGGGCAACGGUCCACCUAAUUAAGUAGCGGUGUUUUUUUUGGAUAGAUGCCGGUGCUUAAUGGACUAAAAUGCAAGUGAUAUCCAAUAUAUCUAUUCUGAUACUAUUACUGACAGGGUAUCUGAGGAUGAUGCCUUUGUAGUUGAUGAGGUCAUGUUGCUACGCAUUGAUGAUUUGAAGCUGAUGCUGCUAUGGAUGGUGUACCGUGUACGCGGUCUUCGAAGGCCAUGUUGCUAUAGAUGGUAAUGUCCCUUGACGUGAUACCACCACAGAUGAUGAGGUAUCUGUGGUUCAAUAUGACAAAUGUAAGUGAUCCCAUCGCCAAGUCGAGGGUUACAAUUCUCUCAAAGAGUAAUGCUAGUUCUUAUCCAAGAUUGGCAUUUCUGGUCAUACCUACUGAUAUGACACGUUUUAAGCAAUUUGGACCGUUUGUAAUGUAAUUUUUUUAAUAUUAUUUUUAUUUUGAGAUUUGAAAAA